CCUACGGGAGGCAGCAGUGGGGAAUAUUGGGCAAUGGGCGCAAGCCUGACCCAGCAACGCCGCGUGAAGGAAGAAGGCCCUCGGGUUGUAAACUUCUUUUAACAGGGACGAAGAAAGUGACGGUACCUGUUGAAUAAGCCACGGCUAACUACUGGCCAGCAGCCGCGGGAAUACGUAGGGGGCAAGCGUUAGCCGGAUUUACUGGGUGUAAAGGGCGUGUAGGCGGGAGAGCAAGUCAGACGUGAAAUUCCAUGGCUCAACCCUGGAACUGCGUUUGAAACUGUUCUUCUUGAGUGAUGGAGAGGCAUGCGGAAUUCGGUGUGUAGCGGUGAAAUGCGUAGAUAUACGGAGGAACACCAGUUGCGAAGGCGGCCUGCUGGACAUUAACUGACGCUGAGGCGCGAAAGCGUGGGGAGCAAACAGGAUUAGAUACCCGAGUAGUC
rnacentral:rRNA from 1 species